rnacentral:rRNA from 1 species
UACGAAGGGGGCUAGCGUUGCUCGGAAUGACUGGGCGUAAAGGGCGCGUAGGCGGUUCGUACAGUCAGGCGUGAAAUUCCCGGGCUUAACCUGGGGGCUGCGCUUGAAACUAGCGGGCUUGAGUGCGGCAGAGGGGGGUGGAAUUCCACGUGUAGCAGUGAAAUGCGUAGAGAUGUGGAGGAACACCGAUGGCGAAGGCAGCCCCCUGGGUCGACACUGACGCUCAUGCACGAAAGCGUGGGGAGCAAACAGG